GCCAUAGCUCAGUCGGUUAGAGCGUGGGUCUAAUAAGCCCAAGGUCGCAGGUUCGACCCCUCCCAAGCU